rnacentral:rRNA from 1 species
AAGCAAUCUAUACGGUGAAACUGCGAAUGGCUCAUUAAAUCAGUUAUCGUUUAUUUGAUAGUACUUUACUACUUGGAUAACCGUGGUAAUUCUAGAGCUAAUACAUGCUAAAAACCCCAACUUCGGAAGGGGUGUAUUUAUUAGAUAAAAAACCAAUGCCCUUCGGGGCUCUUUGGUGAUUCAUAAUAACUUAACGAAUCGCAUGGCCUUGUGCCGGCGAUGGUUCAUUCAAAUUUCUGCCCUAUCAACUUUCGAUGGUAGGAUAGUGGCCUACCAUGGUUUCAACGGGUAACGGGGAAUUAGGGUUCUAUUCCGGAGAGGGAGCCUGAGAAACGGCUACCACAUCCAAGGAAGGCAGCAGGCGCGCAAAUUACCCAAUCCCGACACGGGGAGGUAGUGACAAUAAAUACUGAUACAGGGCUCUUUUGGGUCUUGUAAUUGGAAUGAGUACAAUUUAAAUCCCUUAACGAGGAACAAUUGGAGGGCAAGUCUGGUGCCAGCAGCCGCGGUAAUUCCAGCUCCAAUAGCGUAUAUUAAAGUUGUUGCAGUUAAAAAGCUCGUAGUUGAACCUUGGGCCUGGCUGGCCGGUCCGCCUCACCGCGUGCACUGGUCCGGCCGGGCCUUUCCUUCUGGGGAGCCGCAUGCCCUUCACUGGGUGUGUCGGGGAACCAGGACUUUUACUUUGAAAAAAUUAGAGUGUUCAAAGCAGGCCUAUGCUCGAAUACAUUAGCAUGGAAUAAUAGAAUAGGACGUGUGGUUCUAUUUUGUUGGUUUCUAGGACCGCCGUAAUGAUUAAUAGGGAUAGUCGGGGGCAUCAGUAUUCCGUUGUCAGAGGUGAAAUUCUUGGAUUUACGGAAGACUAACUACUGCGAAAGCAUUUGCCAAGGAUGUUUUCAUUAAUCAGUGAACGAAAGUUAGGGGAUCGAAGACGAUCAGAUACCGUCGUAGUCUUAACCAUAAACUAUGCCGACUAGGGAUCGGGCGAUGUUAUCUUUUUGACUCGCUCGGCACCUUACGAGAAAUCAAAGUC